GGAGGGUUGCCCGAGUGGUCAAAGGGAGCAGACUGUAAAUCUGCCGGCGGUUGCCUACGUUGGUUCGAACCCAACACCCUCCA
rnacentral:tRNA from 1 species